rnacentral:rRNA from 1 species
AUGGAAGACUACUUCGCGGAGGUACCUACAUACCCUCCUCGUCUCUUCCGCAGAAGGUACCGAAUGCGGCUUAGUUUGUUUGUGAAGAUUGUCACCGAUUGUGAGGCCGCCUCCUAUUACUUUAAACAUCGUAGAUCCGCCGCCGGUAUCAUGGGGUUUAGUGCAUAUCAAAAGAUAUCGGCGACAAUGCGGGUACUCGCUUAUGGCAUACCACGGAUUAUACCGACGAGUAUCUUCGCAUUGGGCAAGAUACAACCACGGAGUCAGUCCGUAGGUUUGCCAAGUUGGUCAUUCGGCUGUAAUUUGCUCAAACAUUGUUGUAAUAACUUUUCUAUGUCCUAUAUGAUUCGAACAAUUAGUGUAAUUUGCUCAAACAUUGUUGUAAUAACUUGA